rnacentral:rRNA from 1 species
CGCCCUUAGAGUUUGAUCAUGGCUCAGGACGAACGCUGGCGGCGUGCCUAAUACAUGCAAGUCGAACGCAGCUUGCUUUGGUAAGAUGAGUGGCGAACGGGUGAGUAACACGUGGGUAACCUGCCUAUCAGAGGGGGAUAACACUUGGAAACAGGUGCUAAUACCGCAUAGAUUUCUUUCGCAUGAAAAGAGAGGAAAGACGUACGUGUCACUGAUAGAUGGACCCGCGGUGCAUUAGCUAGUUGGUGAGGUAACGGCUCACCAAGGCCAUGAUGCAUAGCCGACCUGAGAGGGUGAUCGGCCACACUGGGACUGAGACACGGCCCAGACUCCUACGGGAGGCAGCAGUAGGGAAUCUUCGGCAAUGGACGAAAGUCUGACCGAGCAACGCCGCGUGAGUGAAGAAGGUUUUCGGAUCGUAAAACUCUGUUGUUAGAGAAGAAUAGGUAGGAGUGACUUCCUGCCAUGACGGUAUCUAACCAGAAAGCCACGGCUAACUACGUGCCAGCAGCCGCGGUAAUACGUAGGUGGCAAGCGUUGUCCGGAUUUAUUGGGCGUAAAGCGAGCGCAGGCGUUUCUUAAGUCUGAUGUGAAAGCCCCGGCUUAACCGGGGAGGGUCAUUGGAAACUGGGAGACUUGAGUGCAGGAGA